ACAUGACUCUCGGCAAUGGAUACCUCAGCUCUUGCAUCGAUGAAGAACUUAGCAAAAUGCGAUACUUAAUGUGAAUUGUAGAAUCUCAUGAACCAUCGAGUCUUUGAAUGUAAGUUGUGCUCGAAGCCAUUAGGCUGAGGGCACACCUACCUGGGUGUCACAC
rnacentral:rRNA from 1 species